rnacentral:rRNA from 1 species
UGCAAGCCGGACGGCAAGUUGAGUAGCAAUACUUGACCUAGAGUGGCGCAAGGGUGCGUAACACGUAUGCAACCUACCCAAAACCGGGGUAUAGCCCUCCGAAAGGAGGAUUAACACCCCAUAGGAAGAUGAAAUGGCAUCAUUUUAUUUUUAAACCACGGGGUUUUGGAUGGGCAUGCGCUUGAUUAGCUAGUUGGCGGGGUAAUGGCCCACCAAGGCGAUGAUCAAUAGGGGACCUGAGAGGGUGAUCCCCCACACUGGCACUGAGAUACGGGCCAGACUCCUACGGGAGGCAGCAGUAGGGAAUAUUGGACAAUGGGUGAGAGCCUGAUCCAGCCAUGCCGCGUGCAGGAAGAAGGCCUUCUGGGUUGUAAACUGCUUUUGCCGGGGGAUAAAUGAUCCCUGCGGGGAGAAUUGAAGGUACCCGGUGAAUAAGCCACGGCUAACUACGUGCCAGCAGCCGCGGUAAUACGUAGGUGGCAAGCGUUGUCCGGAUUUAUUGGGUUUAAAGGGUGCGUAGGCGGUCCUGUAAGUCAGUGGUGAAAUACGGCAGCUCAACUGUCGAGGUGCCAUUGAUACUGCGGGACUUGAGUACAGUCGAGGUAGGCGGAAUUGACGGUGUAGCGGUGAAAUGCUUAGAUAUCGUCAAGGACACCGAUAGCGAAGGCAGCUUACUAGGCUGUAACUGACGCUGAGGCACGAAGGUGCGGGGAUCAAACAGGAUUAGAUACCCUGGUAGUCCGCACAGUAAACGAUGAUUACCCGAUGUUGGCGAUACACAGCCAGCGUCUUAGCGAAAGCGAUA